UACGUAGGGGGCAAGCGUUGUCCGGAUUUAUUGGGCGUAAAGAGCGUGUAGGCGGCCAAGCAGGUCAGCUGUGAAAACUCGAGGCUCAACCUCGAGACGUCGGUUGAAACCGCUUGGCUAGAGUCCGGAAGAGGAGAGUGGAAUUCCCGAUGUAGCGGUGAAAUGCGCAGAUAUCGGGAAGAACACCCGUGGCGAAGGCGGCUCUCUGGGACGGUACUGACGCUGAGACGCGAAAGCGUGGGGAGCGAACAGG
rnacentral:rRNA from 1 species